GACGAACGCUGGCGGCGUGCUUAACACAUGCAAGUCGAACGGAAAGGCCCUGCUUUUGUGGGGUGCUCGAGUGGCGAACGGGUGAGUAACACGUGAGUAACCUGCCCUUGACUUUGGGAUAACUUUAGGAAACUGGGGCUAAUACCGGGUAUGAGCUCCUGCUGCAUGGUGGGGGUUGGAAAGUUUCGGCGGUUGGGGAUGGACUCGCGGCUUAUCAGCUUGUUGGUGGGGUAGUGGCUUACCAAGGCUUUGACGGGUAGCCGGCCUGAGAGGGUGACCGGCCACAUUGGGACUGAGAUACGGCCCAGACUCCUACGGGAGGCAGCAGUGGGGAAUAUUGCACAAUGGGCGGAAGCCUGAUGCAGCAACGCCGCGUGCGGGAUGACGGCCUUCGGGUUGUAAACCGCUUUCGCCUGUGACGAAGCGUGAGUGACGGUAAUGGGUAAAGAAGCACCGGCUAACUACGUG
rnacentral:rRNA from 1 species